AGUGAACGCUGGCGGCGUGCUUAACACAUGCAAGUCGAACGAGAACGGGUUAUAGCUUGCUAUAAUUGUCAGCUAGGUGGCGCACGGGUGAGUAAUGUAUAGGUAAUAUGCCUCUUACUAAGGGAUAACAAAUGGAAACGUUUGCUAAUACCUUAUACUCCUUAUUAACAGAAGUUAAUAAGGGAAAGAUUUAUUGGUAAGAGAUUAGCCUGUAUUGUAUCAGUUAGUUGGUGAGGUAAUGGCUUACCAAGACUAUGACACAUAACUGGUUUGAGAGGAUGAUCAGCCACACUGGAACUGAGACACGGUCCAGACUCCUACGGGAGGCAGCAGUGGGGAAUAUGGCACAAUGGACGAAAGUCGGAUGCAGCAACGCCGCGUGGAGGAUGACACAUUUCGGUGCGUAAACUCCUUUUAUAUGAGAAGAUAAUGACGGUAUUAUAUGAAUAAGCACCGGCUAACUCCGUGCCAGCCGCCGCAGUAA
rnacentral:rRNA from 1 species